GAGCUCUGUCCAAUGGGCACCCCUGCAGAAAUGUAAACAUAUCACAAGCACCGGAAGAGAAGAGUUGUAGUUUUGUUGGUAGAGGAGAGGUGGCCAUGGUGU